UGAAACACUGGUUCCCAUUUGAUCACUGAAGUAACAUCAAGCCUGUUCAGUACCAAGAUGGGUGAUCGCUUGGGAAUACCAGGUGCUGUAA